UGUCCAGUAGCACCUUAGAGACCAACUAAGUUCAUUCUUGGUAUAAGCUUUCGUGUGCAUGCACACUUCUUCAGAUACAUGCACACGAACACUUAUGCCAAGAACAAACUUAGUUGGUCUCUAAGGUGCUACUGGACA